UUAUCAAACAUUUGUAAGUCACUCUGGAUAAGAGCGUCUGCUAAAUGACUUAAA
rfam:Salmo salar isolate Sally breed double haploid chromosome ssa02, whole genome shotgun sequence.